GUCUGAUCCUCUCGACCCCAUCUUUGCUGUAGUAUCUUUUGCUGUAGUAUUCUUUCUCAGCCGCAUCGUGCACGUUCUCGGGACCUGAUCGACUUUGCCGGCUGGCUCCGGCACACUAGCUUUGUUUGUAGUGAUGCUUUCUAAGGCCCACUUGACUUCAUAUUCCAGGAUGUCUGGCUCUAGGUUUUGGGACACAGAGUGAAGUCUGCUCAGAUCCAUCUGUCUCCUUACUAUUUCAACCAAUAUACUCCCUCCUACAAAAAGUAUGUCUUCAGAAAGUGCACUCAGGUUGGAAAAGUGUGGAAAGAGCAGAUGAACUUAUUGUCAGUGGCCAUAUGAUCCCUCACUGUUCAUUGUCUUCAUCACUAAGU
ensembl:lncRNA